UUAGAUCACCGAAGUCGAAGCAUCAUUGGGCGCGGUCAGUAGUUGGGUGGGUGACCACCUGGGAACACCGCGUGCCGUU